CACAACAUGCUCUCUUCUCAUUAAUACCAGGAGGUACAAGAGCCUGAGGGGACACACACACACACAACAUGCUCUCUUCUCAUUACUACCAGGAGGUACAGGAGCCAGAGGGGACACAGACACACAACAUGCUCUCUUCUCAUUACUACCAGGAGGUACAGGAGCCUGAGGGGGCACACAAACAAACACACACACACACACACAACAUGCUCUCUUCUCAUUACUACCAGGAGGUACAGGAGCCAGAGGGGACACAGACACACAACAUGCUCUCUUCUCAUUACUACCAGGAGGUACAGGAGCCUGAGGGGGCACACAAACAAACACACACACACACACACAACAUGCUCUCUUCUCAUUACUACCAGGAGGUACAGGAGCCAGAGGGGACACAGACACACAACAUGCUCUCUUCUCAUUACUACCAGGAGGUACAGGAGCCUGAAGGGGCACACAAACAAACACACACACACACACACACACACAACAUGCUCUCUUCUCAUUACUACCAGGAGGUACAGGAGCCUGAGGGGACACACACACACACACACACACACACACACACACACACACACACACACAACAUGCUCUCUUCUCAUUACUACCAGGAGGUACAGGAGCCUGAGGGGACACACACACACAAAAUGCUCUCUUCUCAUUACUACCAGGAGGUACAGGAGCCUGAGGGGACACACACACACACACACAAAAUGCUCUCUUCUCAUUACUACCAGGAGGUACAGGAGCCUGAGGGGACACACACACACACAACAUGCUCUCUUCUCAUUACUACCAGGAGGUACAGGAGCCUGAGGGGACACACACACACACACACACACACACAAAAUACUCUCUUCUCAUUACUACCAGGAGGUACAGGAGCCUGAGGGGACACACACACACACACAACAUGCUCUUUUCUCAUUACUACCAGGAGGUACAGGAGCCUGAGGGGACACAC